rnacentral:rRNA from 1 species
AAACUUUACAAUGCGGGAAACCGUGAUAAGGGGACACCGAGUGCUAGCAUCAUAUGCUGGCUGUCCAGGUGUACACCUGUAGCAAGGGCCGGCAAGACCGGUGCCAGCCGCCGCGGUAACACCGGCGGCCCGAGUGGUGAUCGUGAUUAUUGGGUCUAAAGGGUCCGUAGCCGGUUUGGUCAGUCCUCCGGGAAAUCUGAUAGCUCAACUAUUAGGCUUCGGGGGAUACUGCCAGACUUGGAACCGGGAGAGGCAAGCGGUACUUAGUGGGUAGGGGUAAAAUCCGUUGAUCCAUUGAAGACCACCUGUGGCGAAGGCGUCUUACCAGAACGGUUCGACGGUGAGGGACGAAAGCUGGGGGGCACGACCGGAUUAGAUACCCGGGUAGUCCCAGCCGUAAACGAUGCUCGCUAGGUGUCAGGUGGUGUCGCAGGGAGCCGUGAAGCGAGCCACCU